GGACUACUAGGGUUUCUAAUCCUGUUUGAUCCCCACGCUUUCGGAUUUGAGUGUCAGUGUCUAGCCAGUUACCCGCCUUCGCCUCCGGUAUUCCACCUGAUAUCUACGUAUUUCACCACUACACCAGGUAUUCUAGUAACCUCUCUAGCACUCAAGCUUAGCAGUUUCAAAUGCACUUCCAGGGUUGAGCCCUGGGCUUUCACACCUGACUUACUAAGCCACCUACAUCCGCUUUACGCCCAAUGAUUCCGAACAACGCUAGGAUCCCUCGUCUUACCGCGGCUGCUGGCAC
rnacentral:rRNA from 1 species